rnacentral:rRNA from 1 species
CCUACGGGCGGCUGCAGUGGGGAAUAUUGGACAAUGGGGGGAACCCUGAUCCAGCCAUGCCGCGUGUGUGAAGAAGGCCCUCGGGUUGUAAAGCACUUUCAGUGAGGAAGAACGCCUGGUGGUUAAUACCCAUCAGGAAAGACAUCACUCACAGAAGAAGCACCGGCUAACUCCGUGCCAGCAGCCGCGGUAAUACGGAGGGUGCGAGCGUUAAUCGGAAUUACUGGGCGUAAAGCGCGCGUAGGUGGCUUGAUAAGCCGGUUGUGAAAGCCCCGGGGUCAACCUGGGAACGGCAUCCGGAACUGUCAAGCUAGAGUGCAGGAGAGGAAGGUAGAAUUCCCGGUGUAGCGGUGAAAUGCGUAGAGAUCGGGAGGAAUACCAGUGGCGAAGGCGGCCUUCUGGACUGACACUGACACUGAGGUGCGAAAGCGUGGGUAGCAAACAGGAUUAGAUACCCUUGUAGUC